UACGUAGGGGGCAAGCGUUAUCCGGAUUUACUGGGCGUAAAGGGAGCGUAGGCGGCCUGCCAAGUCUGAUGUGAAAUACCGGGGCUCAACCCCGGGGCUGCAUUGGAAACUGGCAGGCUGGAGUGCCGGAGAGGCAGGCGGAAUUCCUAGUGUAGCGGUGAAAUGCUUAGAGAUCAUACAGAACACCGAUUGCGAAGGCAGCUUACCAAGCUACUUCUGACGUUGAGGCACGAAAGCGUGGGGAGCAAACAGG
rnacentral:rRNA from 1 species